rnacentral:tRNA from 1 species
GGGCGGGUAGCUCAGAUGGGAGAGCGUUGCCUUCGCAAGGCAGAGGCCGCGGGUUCAAAUCCCGCCCAGUCCAC